GAGGGAGAUGAUGCCACAUCUGGUCCAGCUGAUGGAAGGUCUUGAAGUUCUCUGACUGGCCUCGACUGAAGAUGCUGGAGUUGUAACAUCUGUCCUGAUAUUGAUCAUGAAGUAUUGAUCAGAAUACUUAUGGUUAGCAGUCAUCUCUGAGGUUUUACAUUAAAAUUUUUACUUGUGUUGUGAACUUUGGUAAGAAGCAGAAACUUUAGCGUUGCCAUGGAUACAUGAGUGUUAAAUUCUGUCCAUGUUUCCAUUUUGGGAAAUUCAGUCCAGCAGAUGAGUUUGUUUUUACUGCCAGCUACCAUUCAGUCUGAGAUAUUAACAAUAAAUAAAUUUGCAUAAUGUGGAAAUGAACAGAUUUUAUUUUGAUUUAUUCCUACAAGUGCUGCAGGUAAAGUUCCAGAAUGUGGAGAAAUUUAGUCUCACAAUCACAGACAACAAAUAUUAUCUGGAAGUCAGGUUAUUGUUGUUUAUCAGCACGUGUUAGACAUAUUCCGGCUAAGACUCUAGAAUAUCAGGAUUUAUGUAAAUUUACCUCAAUAAUAUGAAUGUUCAGGUUAAGAUUGUACAGUGAUAUUUAUGUAAGUUUAGCUGAUUAAAGUUUAUGACUCUGCACUACAGUAUUAUUUAUUAUUUAAAUUUACAUCAUUAUGAUAAUAUUUAGGGUCACACCCUACAGUAUUGAGAUUAAGAAAUCAAAUAUUCUAUAAAAUGUAAAUACACUGAACUCCUUUGGAUAUAUUUAAGUGAGACUCUACAACGUUAGUUGACACAAAUCUAUCUGAUUAAAAUCAUCGUGUUUUAAUCAUUUUUACUCCAAACAUUGACUGGACUGAUUUAAACAUUAAAAUCACUCCUUUCUAAUCCUCUGCUGUACGUUGAAACCUGAGGCCUUUAAUAGAAACACACAAGUAUCUGAUUGAAGGAACUUCUGCAGAGUCCUGGUUCCAGAACAUGAUGAUAGAAUUAUAGACAAAUUUUAACAAAAGCUGCCUGAGAGUUUGCAGGUUUUUAUGUUAGAUUUCUUCAGUAAUUUAAUGAGAGUUAUCAGCAACAAUCAGGUGUUCAUUUGAUGAACUUCAUUUUCUAAAACAUCCAGAAUUGGAACUCAUAUCUUUGGCAGCUGUAAAGUUUCUGCUCCUUCAAGGUUCACAACACAAUGAAUUAAUUCCUAAAACACUCUCAAUGCUGGAGAGCGUUUGUGAUGCUGAAGCAGUGAUCAGUUUUUCUGUUUCUUCUCUGGAGAUGCACAAUGAGGGACGUCUGCAGAGACUGAGAAAGAGUCUCACCACAUCCUGACAUAAGGAAAAAGACUUUAUUGAAGACUACAAUGAGAAAAACUAUCAGACAGCAGACGGCUGCAUUCAAGUCUGUAGCUGCUGAAUUCAUGGAUGAAUCAUCUGGCACUAGAGAGGAAGACCAUCAAACAUCCACGUCAGCUGAUGGAGGUCCAAGAGUCUCACUGAACAACCAACCUACAGAGUGAAGACCUCGAAUCUGAUUGGACGGCCUCCUAUUCAGCCACAUGUGUGAACAAAUGCCUCUAAGUUGGUUUCUUUUCUAAAAUAAAUCUAGUUUGAGUCC
ensembl:lncRNA